rnacentral:lncRNA from 1 species
UCUCAUGUAUCCAAGACAAGUUUGCACUGUUGAGCUGUAUAAAAAUUAACCUUUACUCCUGGCAGGAGGUUUACAAAAAGUUGUGGUAAAGAUGAUGCAGGCUCUGUUUAUCUGUUUGUUUUCAGAUAUGGAAGAUUUGAAAUGCUGCUCCUUCGCUUCUUGAUGUAGAUCUCUCCUCAAGCACUGUGUGUGACUCUUCCCCUUAAAACUUGGAGCACUGCAUAAAUUCUGCUGGUCAGACAGUGAUUUCAAAAGGUUGAAUUGUGUAAAAACGUUAAGAUGGAUGUGACUCUGGAAGCUGGUGUAUCUUUGUGCGCCAAUAGAAUCAGUGAGUGAUAUGUGCCACAGCUGUAAUACUGAUAAUGUGCCAAGGUAGAGGAUGUGAAUAAAGAAAAAUAUCAUGUACGUCAUAAAUAUGAUUCCUUAGAAGGAACAGCCACAGGCGUACCGUGGAAAAGAUUUAUGCAAGUGAUUACAGCUCCAUAUUCAGAGAAUCUGAAUAAAGGAAGCAAAGAGGAGCUCUUCAGAUGGCCUUCUCCAGUAUGUAAGUAUGGAGACUAACAAAGAUUCAUAGCACC